rnacentral:rRNA from 1 species
CGAGCGCACUCUUCGGAGUGAGCGGCGGACGGGUUAGUAACGCGUGGGAACAUACCCUUUUCUACGGAAUAGCCUCGGGAAACUGAGAGUAAUACCGUAUACGCCCUUCGGGGGAAAGAUUUAUCGGAGAAGGAUUGGCCCGCGUUUGAUUAGAUAGUUGGUGGGGUAAUGGCCUACCAAGUCUACGAUCAAUAGCUGGUUUGAGAGGAUGAUCAGCAACACUGGGACUGAGACACGGCCCAGACUCCUACGGGAGGCAGCAGUGGGGAAUCUUAGACAAUGGGCGCAAGCCUGAUCUAGCCAUGCCGCGUGAGUGACGAAGGCCUUAGGGUCGUAAAGCUCUUUCGCCAGAGAUGAUAAUGACAGUAUCUGGUAAAGAAACCCCGGCUAACUCCGUGCCAGCAGCCGCGGUAAUACGGAGGGGGUUAGCGUUGUUCGGAAUUACUGGGCGUAAAGCGUACGUAGGCGGAUUGGAAAGUAGGGGGUGAAAUCCCGGGGCUCAACCCCGGAACUGCCUCCUAAACUAUCAGUCUAGAGUUCGAGAGAGGUGAGUGGAAUUCCAAGUGUAGAGGUGAAAUUC